rnacentral:rRNA from 1 species
UACGUAGGGUGCGAGCGUUAAUCGGAAUUACUGGGCGUAAAGCGUGCGCAGGCGGUUUUUCAAGUCUGAUGUGAAAGCCCCGGGCUUAACCUGGGAACUGCGUUGGAAACUGAAAGACUAGAGUACGGCAGAGGGGGGUAGAAUUCCACGUGUAGCAGUGAAAUGCGUAGAUAUGUGGAGGAAUACCGAUGGCGAAGGCAGCCCCCUGGGUCGAUACUGACGCUCAUGCACGAAAGCGUGGGUAGCAAACAGG